AUGAACGCUGGCGGCGUGCUUAACACAUGCAAGUCGAACGAAGCACUUUAUUUGAUUUCCUUCGGGACUGAUUAUUUUGUGACUGAGUGGCGGACGGGUGAGUAACGCGUGGGUAACCUGCCUUGUACAGGGGGAUAACAGUUGGAAACGGCUGCUAAUACCGCAUAAGCGCACAGCAUCGCAUGAUGCAGUGUGAAAAACUCCGGUGGUAUAAGAUGGACCCGCGUUGGAUUAGCUAGUUGGUGAGGUAACGGCCCACCAAGGCGACGAUCCAUAGCCGACCUGAGAGGGUGACCGGCCACAGUGGGACUGAGACACGGCCCAAACUCCUACGGGAGGCAGCAGUGGGGAAUAUUGCACAAUGGGCGAAAGCCUGAUGCAGCGACGCCGCGUGAGCGAAGAAGUAUUUCGGUAUGUAAAGCUCUAUCAGCAGGGAAGAUAAUGACGGUACCUGACUAAGAAGCACCGGCUAAAUACGUG
rnacentral:rRNA from 1 species